rnacentral:rRNA from 1 species
UACGUAGGGGGCAAGCGUUGUCCGGAUUUAUUGGGCGUAAAGAGUUCGUAGGUGGUUUGUUAAGUCUGAUGUUAAAGACUGGGGCUCAACCUCGGAAAUGCAUUGGAUACUGGCAGACUUGAGUGUGGUAGAGGCAAUCGGAAUUCCAGGUGUAGCGGUGAAAUGCGUAGAUAUCUGGAAGAACACCGGUGGCGCAAGCGGAUUGCUGGGCCAUAACUGACACUGAGGAACGAAAGCUAGGGUAGCGAAUGGG